GAUUUCCUGCUUGGUGCGUGAUUACAGUUAUCAAUGAACCCACUGAUUAUAACCAUAGCGACCGGGCUUCUCCGGCGGGAAUGCAGGCCUCCCUUUCCGUGCCGACUUUGUGCCGCACGGACGGGAUGUUGGUUGUCACAAAACCGGAGAGAGGACGCUAGCCUUGCUUGCAAGGGUUUAUAAUUGACUGAACACGGCCAAAGCGGGAAAUCU
rnacentral:other from 1 species